rnacentral:rRNA from 1 species
AUUGAACGCUGGCGGCAGGCUUAACACAUGCAAGUCGAGCGGGGGAAGGUAGCUUGCUACCGGACCUAGCGGCGGACGGGUGAGUAAUGCUUAGGAAUCUGCCUAUUAGUGGGGGACAACAUCUCGAAAGGGAUGCUAAUACCGCAUACGUCCUACGGGAGAAAGCAGGGGAUCUUCGGACCUUGCGCUAAUAGAUGAGCCUAAGUCGGAUUAGCUAGUUGGUGGGGUAAAGGCCUACCAAGGCGACGAUCUGUAGCGGGUCUGAGAGGAUGAGCCGCCAGACUGGGACUGAGACACGGCCCAGACUCCUACGGGAGGCAGCAGUGGGGAAUAUUGGACAAUGGGGGGAACCCUGAUCCAGCCAUGCCGCGUGUGUGAAGAAGGCCUUAUGGUUGUAAAGCACUUUAAGCGAGGAGGAGGCUACUUUAGUUAAUACCUAGAGAUAGUGGACGUUACUCGCAGAAUAAGCACCGGCUAACUCUGUGCCAGCCGCCGCGGUAA